GGGGGGGGGGGGGGGGGGGGGGGGUGCGGGGGGGGGGGGCGGGGGGGGCGGGGGCUGGCACGGGGCGAUGGGGUGGCGAACGGGGGGGUGCCGCGUGGGUAACCGGCCCGUCAGAGGGGGAUAGCAUCCGGACACGGAUGCUACACCCGCAUCGGUCGUCGAACCGCAGGGGGUUGAGCGGCAACGAGGCGCAAGCUUCUGCUGAGGGAUGGCCCCGCGUUGCAUUAGCUAGUUGGUGAGGUUACGGCUCACCAAGGCCGUGAUGCAUAGACGACCUGAGAGGGUGAUCGGCCACAUUGGGACUGAGACACGGCCCAAACUCCUACGGGAGGCAGCAGUAGGGAAUCUUCCGCAAUGGACGCAAGUCUGACGGAGCAACGCCGCGUGAGUGAAGAAGGUUUUCGGAUCGUAAAACUCUGUUGUUAGAGAAGAACAAUUGCUAGAGUAACUGUUAGCGCCUUGACGGUAUCUAACCAGAAAGCCACGGCUAACUACGUG
rnacentral:rRNA from 1 species